rnacentral:rRNA from 1 species
UGGUGGAGUGAUGUGUCUGGUUAAUUCCGUUAACGAACGAGACCUUAACCUGCUAAAUAGUUACAUGUAACCUCGGUUACAUGGGCAACUUCUUAGAGGGACUUUACGUGUCUAACGUAAGGAAGUUUGAGGCAAUAACA